GCUUAACACAUGCAAGUCGAACGGAAAGGCCCUGCUUUUGUGGGGUGCUCGAGUGGCGAACGGGUGAGUAACACGUGAGUAACCUGCCCUUGACUUUGGGAUAACUUCAGGAAACUGGGGCUAAUACCGGAUAGGAGCUCCUGCUGCAUGGUGGGGGUUGGAAAGUUUCGGCGGUUGGGGAUGGACUCGCGGCUUAUCAGCUUGUUGGUGGGGUAGUGGCUUACCAAGGCUUUGACGGGUAGCCGGCCUGAGAGGGUGACCGGCCACAUUGGGACUGAGAUACGGCCCAGACUCCUACGGGAGGCAGCAGUGGGGAAUAUUGCACAAUGGGCGGAAGCCUGAUGCAGCAACGCCGCGUGCGGGAUGACGGCCUUCGGGUUGUAAACCGCUUUCGCCUGUGACGAAGCGUGAGUGACGGUAAUGGGUAAAGAAGCACCGGCUAACUACGUGCCAGCAGCCGCGGUGAUACGUAGGGUGCGAGCGUUGUCCGGAUUUAUUGGGCGUAAAGGGCUCGUAGGUGGUUGAUCGCGUCGGAAGUGUAAUCUUGGGGCUUAACCCUGAGCGUGCUUUCGAUACGGGUUGACUUGAGGAAGGUAGGGGAGAAUGGAAUUCCUGGUGGAGCGGUGGAAUGCGCAGAUAUCAGGAGGAACACCAGUGGCGAAGGCGGUUCUCUGGGCCUUUCCUGACGCUGAGGAGCGAAAGCGUGGGGAGCGAACAGGCUUAGAUACCCUGGUAGUCCACGCUGUAAACGGUGGGUACUAGGUGUGGGGUCCAUUCCACGGGUUCCGUGCCGUAGCUAACGCCUUAAGUACCCCGCCUGGGGAGUACGGCCGCAAGGCUAAAACUCAAAGGAAUUGACGGGGCCCCGCACAAGCGGCGGAGCAUGCGGAUUAAUUCGAUGCAACGCGUAGAACCUUACCUGGGUUUGACAUGGAUCGGGAGUGCUCAGAGAUGGGUGUGCCUCUUUUGGGGUCGGUUCACAGGUGGUGCAUGGCUGUCGUCAGCUCGUGUCGUGAGAUGUUGGGUUAAGUCCCGCAACGAGCGCAACCCUUGUUCACUGUUGCCAGCACGUUAUGGUGGGGACUCAGUGGAGACCGCCGGGGUCAACUCGGAGGAAGGUGGGGAUGACGUCAAGUCAUCAUGCCCCUUAUGUCCAGGGCUUCACGCAUGCUACAAUGGCUGGUACAGAGAGUGGCGAGCCUGUGAGGGUGAGCGAAUCUCGGAAAGCCGGUCUCAGUUCGGAUUGGGGUCUGCAACUCGACCUCAUGAAGUCGGAGUCGCUAGUAAUCGCAGAUCAGCAACGCUGCGGUGAAUACGUUCCCGGGGCUUGUACACACCGCCCGUCAAGUCAUGAAAGUUGGUAACACCCGAAGCCGGUGGCCUAACCGUUGUGGGGGAGCCGUCGAAGGUGGGACUGGUGAUUAGGACUAAGUCAUAAC
rnacentral:rRNA from 1 species